UGCGGAAUAGAGCAGUGGUAGCUCGUUGGAAUUAGUAUCCAAAGAUCAGUGGUUCAAAUCCACUUUCUGCCCC
rnacentral:tRNA from 1 species